GCAUGCGCAGAAAGCGGAUAGCAAGACAAUUUAAGUGCUCUAUCAGAGCAACAAAAAUUUGUGUGGCGUCGGUAUCAGUUCUCUGCGAUGUGUCAAUGGUAACAGUAAAUUCUAGCACGAACGCGAAUACGAAUACCACGGCGAGUGCGAGUGCCGACCGCUAACGGAGCUCGGUCGCUGUGGAGAGGAGAAGUGUUGGCUUGCGCACGAAAAGUUAGGAUUUAAACGGAGGCGCGGCUCGACUCACCGCCGCUCGCGUCGGUAUGGAUAUUUCAUUGUGCUGGGAAAGACAAAAGCGUCAGCAACAGGAACUGAACCAACUUCACUGUUUCAACCAAUCACGUGAGGAGCUCACGCGAGGUACUCCCCGUCACACGAACACCAAGUCGGGACACAAUUGACGAUUACAGUUACUUCCAAGUGCGCAAAAACGCACACACACACGUUCGACAUAUAUACGUAUACAGAUACGGGUGUAGCUGUUUCUCGGCAGACAUAGGAUCGGCGGGUCAUUAUUAUGUCGUGAUUCCAUACGUUCGAACGUAGCUAAUGUCGAGUCGUUAGCUGAACUGAAAAUAAUUGUUUUCCAAGCUAGUGACAAACAAGAGUGUUGGAUUUUGUGAACGAUUUUUAUCAAUAAUCAUAAAAUGAGAUGACUAAUAGAACACCAAUAAUAUAGUCAUUCACCGUAUUGUAUUCAGGAAUGUUUAAUUAGAUUACUGUAGAUUUUGCGGUUUACAAAUAAGGCCAGUCAGUCACUUAUCUCGUCUGUCUGAUCAAGAAUAUAUGUACAUAUAUCGUCGCAUUCCUGCGAAAUGAUCGUAUGUCGAAAAAUGUAAUUUUACAGGAGGAGCUUUAUGUUAUUAUACAUAUGCUUAAAUUUACAUUAAUUUUUUUUUCCAAAACUAGAGCGAAUUCACUUGUUUUUGCAAGUAUGUGAUGCAGAUGCUUUCUAACCGUUCUGCAUUAAAAUCUCAAUUUCGCAAAAAAUCAACAUAGGAGCAUUUCGUGGGAAUGCGACGAUAUGCUUUAUGAUGUCUGCCACUUGUUCUUUUGCGUUCCGGGUUCCGGGUACAAUAGUUAUUGAGGAAAUUUUUUUUGUAAAU